rnacentral:rRNA from 1 species
CACGUAGUUAGCCGGGGCUUGCUCCUAAGGUACCGUCAUUUGUUUCUUCCCUUAGAACAGAAGUUUACAACCCGAAGGCCUUCAUCCUUCACGCGGCGUUGCUGCAUCAGGCUUUCGCCCAUUGUGCAAGAUUCCCUACUGCUGCCUUCCGUAGAAGUUUGGACCGUGUCUCAGUUCCAAUGUGGCCGAUCACCCUCUCAGGUCGGCUACUGAUCGUCACCUUGGUGAGCCGUUACCUCACCAACUAGUUAAUCAGACGCAGGCCCAUCCCUGACCGAUAAAUCUUUGACCGAUGAAGCAUGUGCUUCUACGGUGUCAUGAGGUUUUAAUCAUCGUUUCCAAUGGCUAUCCCUCUGUCAGGGGCAGGUUGCCUACGCGUUACUCACCCGUCCGCCGCUUUCCGUUAGCAUAAUCCCCCGAAGGUUCAUGCGCUAACAUCUCGCUCGACUUGCAUGUAUUAGGCACGCCGCCAGCGUUCAUCCUGAGCCAGGAUC